CGACUAAGACUACGUGCACACGGUAACGUUUUCGAGCGUUUUCAUUUGCGUUUUCACGCUAAAACGGAUGCGAAAACUAUUAAUUUACGACCGAAGCUGUAGUUUAUUUAAUAUAUUGGAGAUAUUUUCCUUUGAACCACGUGAACAGGGCAUCAAAGCGAUUAAAGGGACAGAAACGUUUUUGAAAACGCUCGAAAACGACGCCCGUGUGCACAUAGCCUAAAUCACUGCACGUCCAGCUUAUUAUGAUAUAAAAUGUCGUCAACAAUUUGAAUAGAAAUUUGUAUAUAUCAACGAUAAACUUUCAAUUGAAACCUUGUCUUGAUAAAUGUCUUGAC